CCCUCCAAUUUUCUACUCCACAUUCCGCAGUCGGAACUCGUCUUUGCCAUAUUGGAACUUGUGUUUCUCCGUUCUCUCAGAGAUCUGUGUGUGUGUGUGUGUGUAUAUAUAUAUAUAUACACACACACAAACACAUAUAUAUACACACAGACACACAUAUAUAUACACACAUGCUGAAACCAAAGAUGACUCGUCAUUCAUGAAAUCAGCUUGGACAGCACGGUCCGAACACGAUCAGCGGCGAAUUUUCGACCGACACACGCGGCUUUGUUCGCUUUCACCUUUCGAAACGUUUCGGUCGAUCGAUUUUACCUAAGAAAUGGCGAAGCUACUGUAUGGAAGGCGGAAGAAGAAGGAGGAAGGGAAGGGAAGGGGAGGAGACAGGCGAAAGUAGGAGGAGGAGGAGGAUGGUUUCAAGGAAAGAUUGGAGCAGCAGACGAUGAAAUCGGGUAGCGGCCGUCCCUCUAAUUAAAAUCCACCGCGAUCCGCUUACCCUGUCUGUCCGUGGAUGACUAUCUACCUUCGAGGAUUAACAACGAUCUCGCAAAUGUUACACAGAGCCGGCUUACCCCCUGUCAAUAUAUACGUAUAUACAUAGAGUACAUAGUGCAGCAGGACUCGCGUUGUAUCCUUU